UUGAUUUUAUUGGUUAUUAAUUCGGACUCAUAAUCGCUUGGUCGUUGGUUCAAACCCAACAGGGGCCACCA
rnacentral:tRNA from 1 species